CCUACAUAAUCUGAAGUGUAGUUCUAGCUGAGGCUGAGUAGUUUAUAAGUUUACUAUUCUUGAUUUGUAAGGUUUAUCUGUACAUUUUUUAUUGUUAAAAAGGAACUUAAUUUAAUAAGUUUUUAAAUCAGUAAACAAAAACAAUGUCUUUAUCGCCUUUUCUUCGAUCGCCCUUCACCGACUUGACUGGCGCAAUGGUCAGUCACCAAUGGUACGGACAAUGUGCAGAUAUGGAAUUAAAGGUGAUGGAUUGUUUAGAGGCGUACGGAGUUGAUAAAGGGCGAAAGAAGUGUGACACUCUCAUUCAAGACUUCCAAGAAUGCGCUUCACGAAAAAUUCGAAACCAACGUAUUAUCGAAAUGCGACAGGAGAGGCAUCGGCAAUAUAAAGCAGGGGAACGUUCGAAGGAAGAUUUGUACGUUCCUACCAUUAAAACAAAUGGAUAUUAGUGUAAAACUUGUAAUUUGUAGUAAUAUAGUCUGAUCUUUCAAAUAAAAUAUGUUGGUACUAA